GACGAACGCUGGCGGCGUGCUUAACACAUGCAAGUCGAACGAAGUGGCGAACGGGUGAGUAACGCGUAAUCAACCUGCCCUUCAGAGGGGGACAACAGUUGGAAACGACUGCUAAUACCGCAUACGGAAGGAGGGGAUUGCGUCUGAUUGGCUGGUUGGAGGGGUAACGGCCCACCAAGGCGAUGAUCAGUAGCCGGGCUUGGAGGAGGAACGGCCAAAUCGGGACUGGGACAAGGCCCAGACUCCUCCGGGAGGCAGCAGUGGGGAAAUUUCCGAAAUGGACGAAAGUCUUACGGAGCAACGCCGCGUGAGUGAUGACGGCCUUCGGGUUGUAAAGCUCUGUUAAUCGGGACGCGGUACCGGAAUAGAAAGCCCCGGCUAACUACGUGCCAGCAGCCGCGGUAAUAC
rnacentral:rRNA from 1 species